UAAAAGAAGACACCAGAGUGAGCUUGCGUGC
rnacentral:piRNA from 1 species